GGGCCUCUAUCUGGAGAUUGCUUCUUUGGGAGCUAUUCUGUGAGCCCAGGAAAUGGGUGACUCUUAAAGGUGACUAAUAAAGGUGGCAUACUGCACACAAUUGCAAUGUGCUGCACUUUUUCCACCUGCUUCCCACAGACAUGGUUCUCAAUUCAACCACUUGUACAUCUACUUGAUCCUCAUUUGCCGUUCAAAACCGAGGUACAGAAUGCAAAUUUGAGGAUUCAUCCACACUUCAACCAAUCUGUUCUGCCUUCUGCUGAUCCCUGCAUUUUGCUCCAAUGCUCUAAAUGAAAGCCUUUCCCACAGUGACCAAAAUGACCACUUUGUAUACCACAUGAGUGAUGCUUUUAAUUUCUCUCUCUGCUACUUCAGACACGUAUUAGAAAAUAAAUGGUUAUAACCGUACACUUCUGGAAACAUAAAUAAGUGUGCCACUUCCACUGAGCACAUUCACAGCUUGUACCAGAGAUGGAAAGACUCAUGUUGCCACAGUAGAAACAGAGGAAACUUAUGGAGUGUUUUUUUAUCACCAGAAGGCAGAAAACUGCAACUACAUAACAGCUCUGAUUUUAAAAUGCACAUCAUUUUAUUGUUACACUGGCCCCCUAUGCAUUGCUGGUUUGUCUAUCAAGUAAGGAUUUUGUUGAGCAGACGCACAUAUAAAUUGUUAUGAGGUGCAGCUGUCCAUGUGCUGGUAGUGUAAACAGCUCUGCAGACAUCAAGGUCAAUGAAGAAGUAGGAAGAAUGGAGAUGAUCCUGGCACUGGAGCAGUUUCUUCUGCAGCAGGUGGAUGACACAACAUGGGAGAGGACACAACAUGGAGGACUGCAGCUCGUGGAGAAGAAUUACUUUGAAUCAAGGGAUGAAUGUGAGGAGAGAGGAGUGGUAAAGAGAUGAACUGACCAUGACCAUCAUUCUCCUGCAUCGUGGCGAGGGAGGCAGUGGAGUCAGGAGUGUAGCAGUGAAAUUAAGCUAGAAAAGGAUUAUGGGGAGAAGUGGCUUAAAAGUGUUAAUUAUAUUGAGAAACAUAGAUAAUAGUUAUCUAUUUUACAUUGAUGGCUCUGAAAGCAAUGCCUCCUACUUAUUUCCAUGGGAACUACAACAGAUACAAAGAGAACAAUAAUCUGAUAGAGGAAGUUCUCAAGUACAAAACACUAUUUUUCAACAGUAGCCAUCAACAGCUCUGCAUUUUUGCUAGAGAUUAACAGGAGCCUGCAUGUCAUGCUCAUAAAAGGUUUGCACCAGUGGAGGUGACUUGCUGUUACACAGCUGCAAUGAUGGUGUCACUGUUAGGAAAAUGUUGCCCAUGCUGUUCAUCUUUCAUUAGUCCAAACAGUUAGAAAUCAGAAGGUGUCAAAUUUAGACCAUAUGGUGGGUGCAGUAGGACAGGUCAUCCAAGACUGGUGAUGUGCUUCACGGUCUUCAAUCCAGCAUGGGACCUUGCAUUAGCAUGUUUCAAAAGAAAGGUUGUUGUCUUCUCUGGACUUACUCUGGAGGUUUGAGCCUUCACCUUAGUCAGCAUCAUGAUGUAGUGGUAAGAACUGAUGCUUUGUCUGGGUUCCAGGAAAUCCAGAAGGAUCACUCCUUCACUAUCACAAACAAUCAUGCACAUAACUUUACUCACUUGAGGCUGCAUCUUGAACUCUUUCUCUUAUGGGAAGCUCAAAUAUCACUGCUCUAUGAAUUGCUGUUUUAACACCAGCUCAUAACAAUAAUGCAUCUUGUCAUGAGUAAUGAUCCAGGAAGCAUUGUUACCUUCAGCCUCAUACUGACAAACUUUUGUGCCAUGGUCUUUCUGUUUCUCUGUGAGCAUUCAUGGAACUCACCUGGUAAAAUUUUUUUUGCUAUUCUAAUGUUGCCACCAUUGUUUCUAACUCAUAGAAACCCAUAUUCUGAUCUGUACAUAGUUCUCUGGUUGUAAUCUGCCAAUUUCAGCAAAUGAGCUGAUUGAGAUGUUCUUCAUCUUGUCAUGAGGCAGCUGAAGGAUAUACCUCAGUUAAAAAAAAAAAAAAAAAAAAGGCAACUAUUAAUCAUUUCCUAUCAACUAAAAGAGUCAUUGUGCUUCACUUUUUCACCAGUCAUAAAGUUUAAGAUUCUAUCUGGGGGGAAAAAAACGGACAGUAUCAUUACUGCACAGUCAUCAUUCUGUCUGUAAGAUUAUUUUGAAGUUCAAGAUAGUUUUGUACAUAUAUAUAUAAAAAGAAUUAUAUUUAUCAAUUUUCUAAGAUAAAUGCUUAUAAUGCUGCCAUUCUGAAAUAUUUACAUGUUGUUCAAAUCCUUAAUAUCCUACUACACCAGAAAAUAAUGUAUUAAAGGAUUUUUGUGGUAAAUUUUCAAUUUCUGUAAUGGAGCAAGCACUGCUUUGGCAGAUUAGUUAAGGAACUUUGUAUGUUUCCAGGUAUUUGGAAUAUAAAGGCAUAUCCUACUGGGAGCUAGUGAGAUAGUCAAAUAUAAUUUAACGUGUCUUGGAUUCUCAAAGACAUUUCUUCAUGACAUUAGCUGUACGUCUGUGCAUACUGGAGUAGAAUUUAUCUGUAUAUUUAUUUGCAACCAAUCAGCUGAGCAUUACUCUGAGCAAUCUAAAAAUACUUGCAGGAAGAAUACAUUACUAGCUCAGGCCAAACACUUCAGAGGUUCUCUAAUCUCAUCCUUCGGCAAAGGGAGCAUUUCUGUUGUAAUUAAUUUUAACACUUCGGACAAUCAGUUCUGAAGUAACUGUUACUUCAGGCUGUUCUUGUCUUAGCCUCACUAGCUAUCUUGUAGCUAGAUGGCACUUGCUCUUUCACUGUACUGUAAUUUAGCUCCACAUUUUUUUUUUCUUUUCUCACAUUCUGAGUCUGAGCUAUUUCUAUUUGUAAUUGGUUUAUCUCUUUUGAAACUGUUCAAAAUAGAAUUUCAUUUUAAGAGCAUGGAGCUGAUUUACUACAUUUCCAUCAAUAUAUCAACACUACAGUAAGUGUUUUACUUUAGUUACAGAAAUAUUAAAUGAACAAAGGUUGUUGUCAGUGAAAUUCAUUUCUCCAAAUCAAGAUCUAAUUCACAGCAUGUUUUUACAGCAAUAGCAUCUUUUAUAAUGUCAGCUUUUAAGUGAAUGCACUUUUAAAGUAUUCAGAGUCUAUUGGUUGUCAAGUAUAAAAACACUUUUGAAACUACAGAAAUAAUAACUUUUCAAUGUAUGUCAAGACAGAUUCUUUAGUCAGUAUAAAGGAGUUCACACAUGAGACUUAGUUCUCUAGUAAUCAGUGCAACAACUUGUUCAUUGUAGCUUACAUAGGAGAUUUGAGAUAUGCACUCUGAGUUCCUCUAAUCAUUAUGAUUCACAUUUAGUACAUUCUUCGUAGGAAAGAGUAGCAGAGUCAGGGCAUCAAGCUGGAUAUGAAAUCUAAAAUAUGCAUAGGUAUAAGGAUUAAACAUUUCCUAGGUAUAACUUUAAAGGUCCAUAUAAACUCAUAAUGUUGUACUGUGACAAAACUGAAAGUGGCUAGAAAGCAAGAAGAGAGGAAAGGAGACAGUGGGGAAAAACAUCAGGAUACUGGACUAAAAGUAGGAGGGACUUUAAGGGUAGUCUCUAGGAAAAGAGAAUAUCUUCAAUUUAAGGAAAUGAGAGAACAAAGAAGCUUGUGGUUCUGUUGGUUGAAAUAAAACACAGAUAAGGAGAUGAACAGUCGUAGAAUUAGUUUUUUAUUAGUUCCACUGCUAUAAUAAUCUGCUGAAAUAGAAUAAUAAAUUCCUUAGGGCCAAGCUAAGGUCCCCUGCAUUACAGAUACAAUUUUCAACUUUGUUAUUAUUUUUCUAGUAGAACAUAUUAACUCCCCUUAUUUAUAAAAAGAAAAUUAAACUGUUCAGGAAGUGGUUUUAUACAAAAAUAUUUAAUGAACUAUGAUUGUGUGAGUAAUAGUAAUUAAAAAAACAAGGGGAUCUUAAAUUUUUUCAAUUUAAAACUUUUUCCAGGUUUUUCCAGGAUUUCACAUUGUCAUCUCCUGGAUCUCAAUUUGUGAGAAGUUACACAUCUCUGCCGUAAGAAAUGUCUUCACAUACAGGUACAACAGGAGAAAAACAGUAGACCCUAACCAGACAAACAUCACUUAUUAGACUCUUUCAUUUUUUGUCAAAUGAAUGGUUGAGAACUAUAAUUUUUCUUCCUCUGAUCUAAAUAACAUUAGUAUCUUGAAUAAUCUGUGGCACGUCCUAAAUGUGUGGAACAGUGCAGUAGAUUUGUGUGUGUGUGUGUAUUAGAGGAGAAAUAAGAACUAGCUACUAUAAUUGUGAAUUGAGAGGAAACAUGAAUUUGUGAUGCAGUUCAUGAACAAUAGCUUCUUCCAAGCUAUCAUUCAAUAUUUGUUGUAUAUGAUUCAUUCUUGUAAUAGAAAGCUUAAUUUUCCCAAUGAAACCUGACAGUUUUCUUGGACUAGAUUCAAAGGUGAUAUAUCUGCUGAGAAUAUAAAUUGAUGUUUCUCUGGCAGUGUUACAUAUGACAUUUUCUGUUGAUCUGAGAAGAGAAGAUAGAAACAAGACCACAACUUUAUGAAAAGCCCAUAGAUUUUUUUGUAGAAAAUGAAAGAAAUUUCAGCCUGACCUUUGGUGGGAAAAGAGACACCACUUCAGAGCAUCUAGCCAAGUAAACAAACUGACACUUCUGCAAUAAUGUAUACACUUUGCAGUUUGAACAGUUGCUUGAUGUUUAAAUUGAUCAUAUGACAACAAAAUGUCAGGAUACUGUUCAUAGGCAUACAGAUGAUUCUGUACAAAAAAAUUAUUAGGAAUAUUUAAGAAUGCAAAGAAAUUCAGGAAGGGUAGAUGCCUAUUGUGCUUGCAUAUCAGAAAGCUGUUGAGCUGUUGCAUAUGUAGAUACCUGACGUGUAUAAAGCAAUAGGAUGUGAGUGGUUCAAAGAAAAAAAGCAAGUAGAAUCAUGUUAUCAUUAAAGAAAAGAAUUUUCAUUCUGCUGUUUAAUAAUUCUAAUUAUGUGCUUUAUUUCCCACUGAAAAUAAAAAGCAAGUACAGAAUGCAAUGCAAGAAAUAUAGGAUUCAGAUGAAGAAAAAAAGUUCAGUAACAUUUUUGCAGGUACAUUUCUGUGCUCAGUUUUGUUUGCCAUCGAUCUACCAUUUCCAUUACUGCUUAUCUAACUAAACCUAUGUCAAAACAAAUUAUAGAUUCUGUUUGAACGAGGUCUUGUAAAUUCCUUUCCGCACAAACAGUAGAAACUAUUGAAAUCUAUAAUAUGUGUGUAUAGAAAUUAAUGGCUAGAAACAGUAUUUAUUUAAGUUUAAAAAAAAAAAAAAAAGUUUGAUGUGGUUACAUUCCUACAACUGAACCAGUCCUGCACAUUCUCCUGUAUAUGCAAUGUACCUCAAAAAAGCAGUGCAUGUCUUCCACUAAAAUGAGAGCUAAAAUGGACAUUAUCACUCAUCAAGAAACAAAGAAUAAACUGAGAACAAGACAAGAUUAUAUUAUGAUCAGUUUGCCUGUGCAUAACCAGUAAGAUCAAAAAGGAGCUUACCUCAAUGAAUACAUUAGCUGCUAAGUCUUUUCCUAGAUAGUUUUGUAUGGAAACUCACAUUGGCAUACAGCCAUAUUUCUCUUUUGAAGUAAGGCAUUCAGCAUGAAAGCAACAUAUUAAAUCAAACACUGACAAGUAGGAGAAAUUUUAGAUGAGCAAUAAAAAUCAUUAAAGCUCAGAAAAUUAGUCCCAUUCUGUUAACCUUGCUUUUUGGGGGGGGGGGGGGGGAAGAAGGCAGGGGAGAUAGAUGAAAUAAGACAGGACUGUCUACAAAUGCAUGAAGUGAACUAGGACCAAUUAUUUCCUUAGUCAGCACCAAAAGGAAAGGGGGAAAAAAAAAGUGACAAAGAACCUGUAAAAGGGACAUUCAGAUUAAAUAAAAAUAAAACUAUAGGUCAUGUAUGUCAAUUGAAAAGACUUGCAAGGAAAAGGUGUCAUUUCAUCAUCACCAUGAAUUUUGGGUUUAGAAAAGAUGCUGUGCUGCACAGUUUUGUUUAGAAAUAUCUAAGGUAAUCCCAUAAUGUUUUCAGGAAGUGACAGACAACAUCUGCAGACCAUGCCAACUCUGUGAUUGUUGAAACAUAAACUACAUUGCUGCUGAAAUUCUCCUAUGUCAAUAUAAGAAUGUAUACAAUUCUUGUAUGUAAGUCUGUUAUGUUAAUAUCAUUCUGCACUGUUAUAUCUGAUAACAUUGACCCACAGAUUGAAGGCACUCAUUAAUUUUCCAACAAAUAACAAAACACAAUAAAUACAAUACAUUAAAUACAAUAAAUUAAAAAAAUAGAACUUUUUUUUUCUAGGAUAGGUGCAGGUUUUUUUUUUUUUUUUUUUUUUUUAAUAGCUUCAGAGGAACUUAUAUGUAACUGUGAUUUGUCCAUUUUCAUAGACUCCAGAAACAUAUUAAAAUGUAGAAAUUUAGCUUUUCAAACAAAGUUGACUGGUUUACCUUAUCAGUCAUGCAUUUCUAAAGUGUGCUUAGAAUAUCUUAUCUCACCAACCGGAGAUUUAUGUAAUUCAGAUAUAGCCUUUAAUUUCCUGUGAGAAAGCAGUAGCAAAAUCAAUAACUAUUUCUAGUUCCUGUGCUUGCCUGAAAAGAACCAUUACUUAAUAAGCAGAAAAGAUGAACUUCUAUUUUGGCCUAUGAUAAAACAGUAAAUCCAAGUCAUAAAAUACUUUUCUGAGUCAGUCAAAUCUUUCUAAUGAAACUAGUAUAAUUUCACUGUUAAGGUAGCAAUAAUAGUUUCUGACAACACAGCAUUUGCAGACCAUUGUGACAUUUAUACAUGUAUUCAAGACUUUGCCUCUAUUUUAUCACUUAGCUAAAAAUUAUUUUUAAAGAAAUUUGCUAGAAAGAUCUUUAAAAAUUUAUAUUGCUAUGUCUGAUCUUGUCAUUUUGUUGAAAUCAUUAGUAUUCUGAUUUGUUAUGCUUUCUCUAAACACAAUCUGAGCAGCACUUGAGAGUCAAAAACAACAAAACCUAAGAAAUAUUAAACUAUAUUAAACUUCCCAAGUUCACAAAAAACUUGUCUGAACCUCUUGAAUGUUUACUGCUAACCAUUAAACAUUACCUUCAGGUUGGAUAUUAGGAAAAAAUUCUUCUCAGAAAAAGUUGUCAAUCAGGCUUCCCAGGGAAGCGGUGUAAUCACUGUCCCUGAAGGUGCUCAAGAAGCAUUUUGAUGCUGUACUGGGGGACAUGGUUUAGUGGGAAAUAAUGGUAGUAGGGGGAUGGUUGAACUGGAUGAGGAGGUCUUUUCCGACCUUGAUGAUUCCAAGAUUCUAUGCUUAAACAGCAACAAACAUUAAGGCUUUUAAUCUUCUUCAUGUUCUAAUCAGGAAAGUUUCCUAGAAUUUGGUGAAGAUUAAAUUCACAGAAAAAUUUUAUUCGAACUCUUGAUAAUUUUUUUCUGCUGAGUGUGGCAUCAGAGCCUAAUGCUGGAUUCCUUGGAGUGGUUGGAAUCAGUGAUACACAGCAAGUAUAAUGAGAGAGAUGUUAGAGAUGUCCAUUUGAUUUAUGAUGUGAAAUUCAGCCAUACUAUAUGAAAGGUUGAGACACAAAGUCAAGGUUUCACUUGCAAACUGAUUUUAAUGUGUAUUUUUUAGUUUUAUGUGGAGACAUUUGAAUUACAAACAUUACCCCAUUAGUGGUACUUACUAGACUGGAAUGUAUGUAUUCAGUAUUUUCCAAGCCUGUGUUUCAGAUAUAAUCUCAGCUUGUAACAUUUCUUCUUGUUGCAUUUUUGUAUAUUAAACUUGAGGGCUGUAGAUUAACCAGUAUGAUAAGGCCACUGAUGUCUUUGUGUUUUAGUGAUAUGUGCAUGACAACUUUGUGGCUUACUAAAACUAGGGACAAGUGAACAGCAACCUUAAAAGGGAAAGAACAAACAUAAACGUACAUUAAAAAGAAACCCUUAGAAGCCCUUGGAAAAAAUGGAAAAACACUAAUGACAUUUGAAAGAAAUGUUUUAAUGUAUGAAAUAAAAAGAAUUAAUAAUGAAUAGAAACCAGUUCUUUUGAGAAUAUAUACAUUCUGAAAUGGUGCUCACUUGGUUUUGAUUAAACGGCAAACUGUUUCAAGUCAGGAUUUGCUUUAAUGUUGACUUCCAAAACCAAAUGAUAAAAUGCUAAGUUAAUAAUUCUAAAACAUCUGCAGGUGUCUGAACUAAAGAAGAAAGACAGUAAUGAGUACAUGAAAGCAAUGUGUUACUGUCUCUCGCAUCACUGAAAGUGAGAGUUUGACUUAUUUUUAGAAUUAUUUGUCAUCGGGUAUUCUAAUACUAGUCUUGAAAAAUGUUUAUUAAAAGGGUUUUGGAAUAUUUACUGAAUUCACUCAAUAGAGUGCUCUGUACAGAUUCAGCUAAUGCAAAGGUCACCUUCUGUGUACUUUUAGCUGUCAUUAUAAUAACAAUGGUGUUUUUACUGCAAGGUAAUAGUAUAUCCCACACAAUAUUUUAAACUUCUGCAUUUUGACACUUUUAGACAUAUAAUUAAUAGUUUUUUUUUUAAUAAUAGAGCAUAGUUGAGACCUCAUCACUUAUAGUAUUACAUAAGAGAAAAAAAAUAGUGCUAAAUAAUAGCAUUUCACAUCAGAAGUGCUAAUAGUUCAGGAUUUGUGUAAUUCACUGAAACCUGAUUCUGAGAUUAAUCAGGACCUGGAGAAAAAUGCUGGCAAGACAUAUUCCCAGAGAUCCCUAGGAAAAUGUGUCUUCAAUAUUUUACAAUAUUUUUGUGAUAGGUUGUAUAUUAAUGAAAUAUUGGAGUUUUUUUCCUAGAUACUCCAGCACCUGUUUAGUGGAAGCUUGAAGACAAACCUACUCAUGUCCACCCAUGCACACAGACUCCACUCCUUCCACCUGCCCACCUACCUAUGUACCCUGUAAAGCUGGCAGUAGAAGAUAUAAGAAUGUCAAAACCAAGGUAUGAAACUGCUGAGACAGACAAAUGGAUGAGCACCCAUUACUGUGCCAGUGCCAGAUGAUGAGCAAACUGCAGAUAUUCAACUAAGCAUAUGUAUGAUAUAAUGGAACAUGUGCAUUUUGAAUAACUAGAUGAGGCAUGUACUUCAUGGGCAAUGAAUUAUUCUGCAAACGUAAUGUUUCCUUCUUCACUGACUAUUUGUUUGUGAAUUUCAUUGAUAAACUUUCCAUAUAAAACUAAUCCUUUCUCAUUUAGCUUAGUCCUAUUGAUUUGCAUGUUUUUCCUAAUGAGAUCACCUAUUUGUCAAGGAAUAGCUAUUCAAAUGUCGUUUUGUGAAUGCUCAUCCAACAAAUGUAGAAAACUGACAUUUCAGAACAUGAAUUUUAAUCCAACCUGUAUUAGCUGGCAUAAUAUGCUGAUCCAUUUUCUCUAUGAUAGGAAAACCAAAGAGAAUGUGUUAAAGUGACAUGCAAUUCAAAUCUAAACUUUCAGCUACUUAAGUAAUGAAAUAGAAGGAAUUGUGGGAUAGCAAGGUAACAAUCAUAACGCUUAUAUUUUUAGUUCAUUUGCUUUUGUUCUGCAAAGAGCAAAUGCAACCCAGCUUGGAGAUGUGAACAACACUGAUAAAUCUUUCCUCAGACUAUGAAUUCUGUUGGGGUCUGUUACUCAUUUUAAAUGUAUUGUACAGACUUCUCUAACUGCUGGACUUUGUGUUGUAUUUACUUACUACUUUUGUACAUAGUACAAGGAUACAACUGGAUAGUACAGGAUAAAACUACAAUUCUCAUGGAACUGCAGAAAAUUUAGUCAGAAGGAAAAAAAAAGGAAAAAAAAGGUCAAGUUUAAAAAAAUGCUGAAGUUUUUUAAAAAAGCAAAAUAAAUAAAUAAAUAAGUUUUUUAAAAAAUGCCCAGAGAUGUGCUGACAUCUUACGUGUAGAAACACCAGAACACCUUAGGUGUCAGGAAUUAUCAUGGUGUUUGUGCCUGCUGCUAGGUUCAGCUUGCAUACAUUGCCAGUCAUCUUGUGCACCCUAGUAAGAGAAUUCUGCUGGCAGUGUAGCUGUGUCUCAGUACGAGGCUUAGGAAGAAACGAAACAUCCUUUUUGACUCUCAUACAGGAAUGCAAUCAGUCUUCAUCCUAAGGGAUAUCUAGCUUGUUACCCAUGUUCCCUUUUUUUUCUGCCAAUAGAAAACAUAGUUAUUCCCUUUGCUAAAGCAUGAUUCACAUGUGCAGAGUGCAAACAAUUUCCUUGGUAUGGCAGUGUGCUUGAUGGAGGGAUAAAACCAUCAAGAACCCUAUAUAUUUCUCUUCAAACAUGCCACUUCCACUUUGUUUUGCAAAACAGACACUUCCCAUUCAAACUCCGAGUUUUAUGUGUUCCAGGGAAAAAUUUAACCAUUAGUUCCCCAAUAAAUCUAAUUAACGUCAGUUAGGUUUGAUGCAGUGAGAUAGAGGUUGCCUUCUUAUGUACUACUCAGCAGUACUGCCAAAUAUCUUCCAUUUCUCCAGAAUUCCCCAAAAUUAGUCAGCAUCUAACAGAAGAUAUGCAUAAUAUGGAAAGAAAUAAAAAAAUUUUGCUUUUAUCUCAGGAAAUGAAAGGAUCCUGUAGUAAGCUAGAAAAUCAUAAUUGAUGUUAAAGGUCAAAUGUGGUGGGUAAAAGCUUGAAAGGAGUAACAACCAUUAAAACAUCUGAAUGCUACUGUUGAAAUUAUGCUAAUUAUGAUGCUUUAUAUUCUUAAAGUUAGACAUUACAGUAAUUUUCCCAAAGAUGUUUCAUAAUAUAUUCUUCCAGUAUAAAUAUGAUAUGAGAGACAAAAGUGCUAGAGGAAGAAGAAAGUCUUAAAUGUAGCAAAUUAAAUAAUAAAGGUGUUCUAUUGACCAGUCCAAUCAUUUAGAAUUAUUAAAAAAAGAGAAUAUUCACACCAGCAGACUUUGGGCAUCUAAUGUGUCUGUUUCCUUUGAUUCCAUUUAGAAUUAGAGAAGAGUGAGAGGAUCCUUCAAAAUCAACUCAGGGUAAUACAUUUUUAUUUAGGUUUGGUUAAAAAUGCUGUGGCCAAGCAAUGCAGUGUGUAUUCUCACUUUCUGUUGAGAUGCAUUCAAAGCAAUGUAUAAAUAAGAUGGCUAUCUGAGAUUUAUCAGUAUGAAUACUACCUCUAAGAUUAGAGGAGCCAGUGGAAAGAAGGCCAUGUAUUGGCCUGGAGCUGGGGGCUGUAUGUUCACAUCUCCCCUUCAGCACAGAGCAGGAGGCCAGACUACUAGAAUUCACUAUUUAUGAGAUGGAAAUAGUAGAGCCACCUCUCCUUGAAUUUCAGGGAGAUCCUCUCACACAGAUGCUACGUGGCCAGUCAUGACCAUCACUGAGACAGGUCAGAGAGGCUGUUCAUACACAACUGCAUGAGCUGGGAACGUACCAAAAUAUCUGCCUGCAGAUCCUUUCAAAGCUGCUUACAGAUGCUUCCAACAAAUCAUUGGAGACCUUUUGUUCAGUAUAAUGCAUUUAGAGGAGGGUGGAGAACUGAGAGCACAUUUUUUGUACUCUGAAAAGGAAACAGCAUGAACCUUUUCCUCACAUACUUGAUUGUGGAAAGUCAUCUACAUUUGAAACAAAAUCUUCUACCCUAGGUCCCUGUGAGCAGUAAAAAUCUGUCAUCUGGAAGUUUCUUCCCUGGUUGGCAGAACUGAAAUUCAAAGUAGAAGUCUUUCCUAAGGACCGAGAGGUCAAACCCUGACUAACCUUGAAAGCGCACGUUCAAGUGUGUAUGAAUCACUCAAUUUCUACAAAAGCAAAGUAAAUAAUUUCCAAAACUGCAUUUCUCACUGCAGAAAAGAAAAAGAAAAAAAAAAAAAAAAGGAAAAAAAAAAAAAAAAAAGGAGCACUGAAUGUUCUGAAUGUUUUACCUUGCUGAAAUGACUUACUGUACAAAGUGAAAACUUUAUUUCUAUCUGUGAAGUGCAGUCCAUUCCUAGGAAAUGUUUCAUGCACCAUAUUCAUUUGGAAAAUUAAAACCUCAUUAGGGUUAACAACCUCAAAAUGCAAACAGUAAUUACACCAGUUUUGUGAACUUCCUGUGGUAGCAAUAAUAGUAAAUGGCAGGCAAAAGAAAAGAAGAAAUGAAAAAUCCAAGAGAGUCUACCUCAUGAUGGAGUGAGAUCUACAAAAGGGAGAAUGGUAAAACUACAGUGAAGCAAUAAAUGUGACAGGAAAGUAGUCAGACUAAAAGUGUGAUUUUUUUUUAAAUAUUAUUUUAAAUCUAAAUAGUAGUAGCUGUUACAAAUGGUAGAGUACUGUAAACUUGCCAGCAGUGUAUGCAUAGCGCCUGUCAUUGUUGUCAAAAUUGUAUAUAUGUGUCAGAGUAUGUAAGCAUUCCAAAAAUGCAGCUUGCUAAAUUUAUCAAAUCUGUAAACUUGAAUGUCAAUGAAGAGAAAUCUGGGUUUAGAAGAGAAACUGUAAAUACUGCAUACUUUAAAGCAAAUCAGAAGAUGCUUGUCACUAAUAUGACUGCUGAUUUUUCACACCAAUUGGCACAUACCCUGGAUUAUUUAAUUUUUGAGACCAUUUUUCUUCCUCUGUCAAAUUGCUGAAGGUCCAGAAUCUAGUUGAACCUUCAAUCUGUAUUUGUGUCUCAACAGCUCAAACCAGUGGAACAAAAACAUCUGUGAGAUUUUAGGUGCUAGAGCAGCACCUGAUAAAGAUAUGUAUUCCCAUCAUGAAAGUUAAACUGAAAAGAGCAGCUAGGGACUUUCUUAUUGAGCCAUGCUCAGAUCAGUUAGGCCAGCAAACCACCUGACUGCAGUGAAGUAUGAAAUAUUAAAGGCAUUUUCUUGAUAAACACAAAGACAGAGUUCAAAAAUUGAAUGUGUAGCCUGAAGACACAAAGCAAAGGUGAAAGCAAAAAGUAGAAAACUGAGCACUCACUAUGAUCAUAAAGAGUGAUACAGACUUUAACUUCAUGUGUGCAUUCAGGUGAGUUCUUCAAUUAUUUGGUAAUAACAAUCACUUCUUUAAUUUGUAUUAUCUCAUCACUCGGAAUCCUACUUGCAAAGACUGGUAUUUAUUUGGUUCUGAAUAUAGCCCAAGUAAUGCCAUAUUAGUGAUGCAUAAGAAUGUUUUGCUUCAGGGGGCAGGACAUAUACUUUGUUUUCUCUUUCUUUCUUGCUAACACUUCUUUUGAAAAAGAAAAAUGCUAAAAAUUACGUCACAACCUUCAGUAUUGUUGGCAGAAUACUGUUAAUAAGUUAUGUGGGACAACAUUAAACAAAGAUUUCCAGGCUUCUUACUAUGAAUAUGGCAAUGACAAGAGUUUCACUGUGAUGCCUUGCCUGUGUGACUUGAUUGUGAUUAGAGAAGCAAGUAUAUUAAAAUUUUAAUCCCAUGAAUAAAUGUUUAAGUUUUGUUCAGAGACUCAUCUUUAAAUGAAAAAAAAAAAAAAGUCUUCUUUGGUUAUUUCUUCAUUACACACUUUUGUAAAACUUCUUUUGCUAGGAUUUAAUUCACAAUAGCUAAUACAUCAAGUAAAUUUUCUUUUAAGAAUGUUUUCUUCUUGGCAGCUGCCCUGCAAAUAGGGUUCCUCUGAUGUCCAAUCGUGUAUGCACAGUGUUCUCUUCAAUCAUAAAUUACGUGAGAUCUGUAAUUUCAGCUUUGAUGCAUGACUGUAAAAGUGCUAAGAUUUAAAAGCCUUGAGGUGAUGUUGAGUUCAUUAUAGGAAGCUGGCAGUGCUUCUUCCAACAGAUAAAAGAAAUUUAAUUACUGGCAUCUACAGGAGACAGUUGAGUCUACUUUGAAAGCUAUGAUUUCUUUUAUAACCUUGCUAGUUAUAUUUUCUGUUCCACAUAUUUUCCCUGAAUAGAUUUGGUACUUUAGUCAAGCUUUUCAGCAAGAAAUCAUCUCAACAGGAAUAUGUUUUCUUUAGUUCUUUAUCACAAGAAUAAACAUUAAUCCGAUGCUUGAAAGGUAUCUGAAGCAUGAUGGAAGAAUUUCAAAGAUCCUAUUUAUGUGAGAUUUUUUUUAGCCAAAUACAUGUUGUUUGCUUUUUCCCGACUCUAUUGCUAAUAUAAAAAAGAAAAGAAUCAA